CAGAAACUCAGCGGCCGCCCUCUAUUUAUGGUGGAGCACAAACCCUCCAAAAUCUCCCCAUGGGUAAAGUAGGUGACCGGGACGACGACGAUUUUGUGAUAUCUGCCGAUUAAAUCAGUGGAAGGGCAAGAACCUUCUUUCGUUUCAUCACCAGGCGGCACUCGCUUUCUUCGGCGAUGACUAUAGGCUGCUGAGAUGGAUACAAGGUCGGCGUCUCUUCUCCGGCGGCGGCGACUGGCCACCAGCACCAAACAAUCAGAUCCGAAUAGGAGGCUUAUCAUUGCAGAUUGCAGAUCCUGUUGAUUCCAUUGAUCUUGUUGCUAUCACAUUCCUACUUAAAUCAAAUCAUCUGACAUCUUCUCACUCUCUCAUUGUCUCUGGCGGCGGCGGCGAUCUUUGCUUCUCUGCACUUGUCGUCGACGGUCACUUGAAAUUAAAAAAAAAGUAUUUCUAGAUAUGUUUCAGAGAAGUGUAUGUUUAGAUACUUUUUCAAAGAAGUGUAUGUUUAGAUAC